rnacentral:tRNA from 2 species
AUUUAAGUAGCUUAAAUUAGAGCAUAAUAUUGAAGAUAUUAAGGUAAUAUUAAUUCUUAAAUA